UUGAGGUUUCUUGGGUGG
rnacentral:siRNA from 1 species